rnacentral:rRNA from 1 species
UGAGGAAUAUUGGUCAAUGGGCGAGAGCCUGAACCAGCCAAGUAGCGUGCAGGAUGACGGCCCUAUGGGUUGUAAACUGCUUUUAUGUGGGGAUAAAGUGCGUGACGUGUCAUGCAUUGCAGGUACCACAUGAAUAAGGACCGGCUAAUUCCGUGCCAGCAGCCGCGGUAAUACGGAAGGUCCGGGCGUUAUCCGGAGUUAUUGGGUUUAAAGUGAGCGUAGGCUGUCUAUUAAGCGUGUUGUGAAAUUUACCGGCUCAACCGGUGGCUUGCAGAGCGAACUGGUCGACUUGAGUAUGCAGGAAGUAGGCGGAAUUCGUGGUGUAGCGGUGAAAUGCUUAGAUAUAAUGACGAACUUCGAUUGCGCAGGCAGCUUACUGUAGCAUAACUGACGAUGAUGCUCGUAAGUGCGGGUAUCAAACAGG